CUGCUACUCCUCCGUUCAAUAAAAGAUGUCUCAAGUUCUUGUCAAAAUUUGGAUGCAUCUAGAUAUGACUUAGCGUAUAGAUGCAUUCAAAUUUAGUCAAAGUUGAGACAUUUUUUGUUGGACGGAUGAAUUAUUUA
rnacentral:pre_miRNA from 1 species